rnacentral:rRNA from 1 species
AGAGUUUGAUCCUGGCUCAGGAUAAACGCUGGCGGCGUGCCUAACACAUGCAAGUCGGACGAAGAGGUUCCCUUCGGGGAAUACUUCAGUGGCGAAUGGGUGAGUAACACGUAGGUGACCUACCCCGAAGCAGGGGAUAACGGCUCAAAAGGGCCGCUAAUACCCAAAAGGAUCGUGCAUCAAACCACGAUGAGAGUACCCCCCUCGGGGGGAGGCGUUUCGGGAGGGGCCUGCGGCCCAUCAGCUUGUUGGUAGGGUAAUGGCCUACCAAGGCGAUGACGGGUAGGGGGCCUGAGAGGGCGACCCCCCACACUGGCACUGACACACGGGCCAGACUCCUACGGGAGGCAGCAGUGAGGGAUAUUGCACAAUGGGCGAAAGCCUGAUGCAGCAACGCCGCGUGGGUGAAGAAGGCCUUCGGGUCGUAAAACCCUUUUCCGAGGGAAGAGAUAGGACGGUACCUCGGGAAUAAGGUUCGGCUAACUACGUGCCAGCAGCCGCGGUAAAACGUAGGAACCGAGCGUUAUCCGGAUUUACUGGGCGUAAAGCGCCUGCAGGCGGUCUUGUAAGUUGGACGUGAAAUCUCCCGGCUUAACUGGGAGGCGCCGUUCAAUACUGCUAGACUUGAGGACAGAAGAGGGAAGUGGAAUUCCCGGUGUAGUGGUAAAAUGCGUAGAUAUCGGGAGGAACACCAGUGGCGAAGGCGGCUUCCUGGUCUGUCCCUGACGCUAAGAGGCGAAAGCUAGGGGAGCGAACGGGAUUAGAAACCCCGGUAGUCCUAGCCGUAAACGAUGGAUGCUAGGUGUAGGUGGUCCUAACCCCAUCUGUGCCAAAGUUAACGCGUUAAGCAUCCCGCCUGGGAAGUACGACCGCAAGGUUAAAACUCAAAGGAAUUGACGG